rnacentral:rRNA from 1 species
UACGGGGGGGGCAAGCGUUGUUCGGAAUUACUGGGCGUAAAGGGCUCGUAGGCGGCCAACUAAGUCAGACGUGAAAUCCCUCGGCUUAACCGGGGAACUGCGUCUGAUACUGGAUGGCUUGAGAUUGGGAGAGGGAUGCGGAAUUCCAGGUGUAGCGGUGAAAUGCGUAGAUAUCUGGAGGAACACCGGUGGCGAAGGCGACUACCUGGCCCAUUCUUGACGCUGAGGCGCGAAAGCUAGGGGGGCGAACGGG